AGAUGAAGUCUCGCUCUGUCGCCCAGUCUGGAGUGCAGUGGCACGAUCUCGGCUCACUGCAACCUUCACCUCCUGGGUUCAAGCAAUUCUCCUGCCUCAGCCUCCCAAGUAGCUGGGACUACAAAUGCACACCACCACAUCGGCUAAAUUUUUGUUUUUGUAUUUUUAGUAGAGACGGGGUUUCAUCGUGUUAGCUAGGAUGGUCUCGAUCGCCUGACCUCGUGAUCAGCCUGCCUCGGCCUCCCAAAGUGCUGGAAUUACAGGUGUGAGCCACCGUGCCUGGCGAAUAAAAUUCUUAACAAAGAAAAAGAACACUUGAGUUUAGUGCUGGCUCCCAGGCUUCCUAGCUGCAUGGUCUAGGGCAAAUUGAUUCAUCUCUUCUGAGCUUCACUUUCCUCAUCUAAAACGAUAAUGAGAGGAGGGACUUGGAGUUGUGGAGGUAUAAAGAAGGACUCAAAUCCCUCCAGAGAGGGAUAAACAAAAAUAAAACUGGGGGAAAACAGUUUUCAAAAACAGCCACUUCAGGGCUGGAAAUCUACCAAAGGCAGACAACAAAAUGAGAAGCUUUAUUUGAUUUUUAUUUAUUUUUUGUCUUCCAGUUUCUAUUUUUAACUUUGUCGGUAUAUAGUAGGUAUAUAUAUUUAUCGGGUACAUGAGAUAUUUUGGUACAGACAUGCAAUUUGUAAUAAUCACAUCAGGGUAAACAGGAUAUCCAUCACCUUAAGCAUUUAUCCUCUUUUGUGUUACAACAUUUAGUUAUUAGUUUAUUUAUUUAUUUAUUUAUUUGAGACGGAGUCUUGCUCUGUUGCCCAGGCUGGAGUGCAGUGGUGCGAUCUCAGCUCACUUUGCAAGCUCUGCCUCCCAGGUUCACGCCAUUCUCCUGCCUCAGCCUCCCAAGUAGCUGGGACUACAGGUGCCCGCCACCACGCCCAGCUAAUUUUUCGUAUUUUUAGUAGAGAUGGGGUUUCACUAUGUUAGCCAGGAUGGUCUCGAUCUCCUGACCUCACUAUCUGCCCUCCUCGGCCUCCCAAAGUGCUGGGAUUACAGGCGUGAGCCACCGUGCCCGGCCUAGUUUUUUAUUCAUUUAUUUUUCAGAUGGAGUCUUGCUCUGUCAGCAGUGACGUGAUCUUGGCUCACGGCAACCUCCGUCUCCCAGAUUCAAGCAAUUCUCCUGCCUCAGCCUCCAGAGUAGCUGGGAUUACAGGCACCCACCACCACGCCCGGCUAAUUUUUGUAUGUUUAGUGGAGACGGGGUUUCACCAUGUUGGCCAGGCUGGUCUCGAACACCUCACAUCAGGUGAUCCGCCCACCUUGGCCUCCCAAAGUGCUGGGAUUACAGGUGUGAGCCACCGUGCCUGGCCGUUUGUGUUUAUUUUUUAUUUUUUGAGACAGAGUCUCGCUUUGCUGCCCAGACAGGAGUGCCAUGGGGCCAUCUCAGCUCACUGCAACCUCCACCUCCCUGGUUCAAGCGAUUCUCCUGCCUCAGCCUCCUGAGCAGCUGGGAUUACAGGUGCCUGACACCACGCCUAGCUAAUUUUUGUACUUUUAGUAGAGAUGGGAGUUCACCAUGUUGGCCAGGCUGGUCUCGAACACCUGACCUCAGGUGAUCCGCCCACCUUGGCCUCCCAAAGUGCUGGGAUUACAGGUGUGAGCCACAGUGCCUGGCUAUAAUAACCAUUUUAAUAUGUGUGUGUAUGUCAUUAACAUCAUGUCGUAUACCUUAAAUAUAUACAAUUUAUUUUUUAAAAGCUUAUACAAACUAUAUUAUCAGAUAAGGGGUUAAUUUCCACAAUAUAUAAGAGCUCAAGUGAUUCUCCUGCCUCAGCCUCCUGAGUAGCUGGGACUACAGGCGUACACCACCAGCCUGGCUAAUUUUUUUUUUUGUAUUUUUAGUAGAGACGGGGUUUCACCAUGUUGGCCAGGCUGGUAUCAAACUCCUGGGCUCAGGUGAUCCUCCUGCCUCGGCCUCCCAAAGUGCUGGGAUUACAGGCGUGAGCCACCAUGCCCGGCCCUGAGUGUAAGUAUCUUGAAUGUAAAAUCAGGAAACCCUUGACUGCCUUCAAACACAUGGGGAAGGUUCAAGAUCUGGAACUUGUUUUCUGUCUCUUCCAUUUUGUGAAAAGCUACAAAAUCAGGAACCCCUAUUCCCUCACAAGGACAGCAGAGUCUGGCCUGGUCUUGGGCUGGCAUAGGUUCAGCUCAGCCUCCUGCUCUUCUGCACUCAUGACCAAUAGGAAAAAUCUUCAAGAACUGCAUGCCUGUGGGGAGAAAAAGCCCACAGCUGCCUAGAAACACCAGUUGGCAGCUGGGUGCGGUGGCUCACCCCUCUAAUUCCAGCACUUUAGGAGGCCGAGGCGGGCGGAUCACGAGGUCAGGAGUUCGAGACCAGUCUGGCCAACAUGAUGAAACCCCAUCUCUACUAAAAAUACAAAAAUUAGCCGGGUGUGGUGGCAUGUACCUGUAAUCCCAGUUACUCGGGAGGCUGAGGCUGAAUUGCUUGAACCAGGGAGUCGGAGCUUGCAGUGAGCCGAGAUCACACCACUGCACUACAGCCUGGCAACGGAGCAAGACUCUGUCUCAAAAAACAAAAACAAAAACAAAACCACCAGUCGGCAUAGGGCCUUGCCUGCCCCCUCGCCAGCAAGCUCUGUUAGACAUGGGAAAUCCAGGUCACACAUGCCCCUGAAGUGAAUGCAGAGCUAACUUACACUGGGCUCCUACUUGCCAAGUGGAUUCAGCCACUAGACUGGCAGACAACUGGCAAAAACUGAGCAUAGAACCACGUUCCCAGGAAUGCCAUGCACGAGAGAAAGACAGGAAUCUGUACCCGAAGCCGGGGAGGACAGUGGGUGGUCAUCUCUCCCUUGACCCACAUUGGCCAGGGGGUCCCCUCCCACUCGAGGUAGAUGACUAAACCGUGAACCUGCUGUUUUAGGGAUUGCCACGGUCACCCAGGGUGAUUCCAGCCAUCUUCCUCUCAGAUGGACAUGUCUUUUAAAUAUCAUCAUUAUUAAGGGAUGAGCCAUUUCUAAUGCUGAACAAAAUGAAAAGCACAUGGGCAUAGGUACUCAACAGAUGUCCUUGGGAUAAAUGAGUGUUUGCUUCUCUCCAACACCAACUCCAACGACUAACUUGGAGAAGAUUGUCUACGAUCAUUAUAGCAGCUUAACUGUGCGAAUUGGCCACUCACUGGUAUUUUGUUUUGUUUUUUGAGAUGGAGUCUCACUCUGUUGCCCAGGCUGGAGUGCAGUGGUGUGAUCUUGGCUCACUGCAACCUCUGCCUCCCGGGUUCAAGUGAUUCUCCUGCCUCAGCUUCCUGAGUAGCUGGGACUACAGGCAUCUGUCACCAUGCCUGGCUAAUUUUUUAUAUUUUUAGUACAGACAGGGUUUCACCGUAUUAGCCAGGAUGGUGUCGAUCUCCUGACCUCGUGAUCCGCCUGCCUCAGCCUCCCAAAGUGCUGAGAUUACAGGCAUGAGCCACUGCGCCCGGCUGACUCACUGGUAUUUUUUAACCAUAGUAUUUCCUGUGCCUGAGCGCAAAUAAAUAGUAGGCAUCAAACCAAUAAAACCAUGUAGUAACAAUUUACAAAAAUACAUCUUUAUUGUGUUCCAAUGUUGUUGCAUUAUACAGAUACCUAGUUAUAUAAACUUGGU
rnacentral:lncRNA from 1 species